CCUACGGGAGGCAGCAGCUAAGAAUCUUCCGCAAUGGGGGAAACCCUGACGGAGCGACGCCGCGUGGACGAAGAAGGCCGUGAGGUUGUAAAGUCCUUUUCUUGGCGAAGAAUAAGGCGAGGAGUGGAACGCCUUGCCGAUGACGUUAGUCAAGGAAUAAGCCCCGGCCAAUUACGUGCCAGCAGCCGCGGUAACACGUAUGGGGCAAGCGUUGUUCGGAAUCACUGGGCGUAAAGGGCGUGUAGGCGGUUUUGCAAGCCUGGCGUGAAAGGCUUCGGCUCAACCGAAGGAUGGCGCUGGGAACUGCGAGACUUGAGUUCUGGAGAGGGAGCUGGAAUUCCUGGUGUAGGGGUGAAAUCUGUAGAGAUCAGGAAGAACGCCGGUGGCGAAGGCGAGCUCCUGGACAGAGACUGACGCUGAGGCGCGAAAGCGUGGGGAGCGAACAGGAUUAGAUACCCUGGUAGUCCACGCUGUAAACGAUGUGCACCAGGUGUUGGGGC
rnacentral:rRNA from 1 species